AUCUAGCCAUGGGCAGGUUGAAGGUUGGGUAACACUAACUGGAGGACCGAACCGACUAAUGUUGAAAAAUUAGCGGAUGACUUGUGGCUGGGGGUGAAAGGCCAAUCAAACCGGGAGAUAGCUGGUUCUCCCCGAAAGCUAUUUAGGUAGCGCCUCGUGAAUUCAUCUCCGGGGGUAGAGCACUGUUUCGGCAAGGGGGUCAUCCCGACUUACCAACCCGAUGCAAACUGCGAAUACCGGAGAAUGUUAUCACGGGAGACACACGGCGGGUGCUAACGUCCGUCGUGAAGAGGGAAACAACCCAGACCGCCAGCUAAGGUCCCAAAGUCAUGGUUAAGUGGGAAACGAUGUGGGAAGGCCCAGACAGCCAGGAUGUUGGCUUAGAAGCAGCCAUCAUUUAAAGAAAGCGUAAUAGCUCACUGGUCGAGUCGGCCUGCGCGGAAGAUGUAACGGGGCUAAACCAUGCACCGAAGCUGCGGCAGCGACACUGUGUGUUGUUGGGUAGGGGAGCGUUCUGUAAGCCUGUGAAGGUGUGCUGUGAGGCAUGCUGGAGGUAUCAGAAGUGCGAAUGCUGACAUAAGUAACGAUAAAGCGGGUGAAAAGCCCGCUCGCCGGAAGACCAAGGGUUCCUGUCCAACGUUAAUCGGGGCAGGGUGAGUCGACCCCUAAGGCGAGGCCGAAAGGCGUAGUCGAUGGGAAACAGGUUAAUAUUCCUGUACUUGGUGUUACUGCGAAGGGGGGACGGAGAAGGCUAUGUUGGCCGGGCGACGGUUGUCCCGGUUUAAGCGUGUAGGCUGGUUUUCCAGGCAAAUCCGGAAAAUCAAGGCUGAGGCGUGAUGACGAGGCACUACGGUGCUGAAGCAACAAAUGCCCUGCUUCCAGGAAAAGCCUCUAAGCAUCAGGUAACAUCAAAUCGUACCCCAAACCGACACAGGUGGUCAGGUAGAGAAUACCAAGGCGCUUGAGAGAACUCGGGUGAAGGAACUAGGCAAAAUGGUGCCGUAACUUCGGGAGAAGGCACGCUGAUAUGUAGGUGAAGUCCCUCGCGGAUGGAGCUGAAAUCAGUCGAAGAUACCAGCUGGCUGCAACUGUUUAUUAAAAACACAGCACUGUGCAAACACGAAAGUGGACGUAUACGGUGUGACGCCUGCCCGGUGCCGGAAGGUUAAUUGAUGGGGUCAGCGCAAGCGAAGCUCUUGAUCGAAGCCCCGGUAAACGGCGGCCGUAACUAUAACGGUCCUAAGGUAGCGAAAUUCCUUGUCGGGUAAGUUCCGACCUGCACGAAUGGCGUAAUGAUGGCCAGGCUGUCUCCACCCGAGACUCAGUGAAAUUGAACUCGCUGUGAAGAUGCAGUGUACCCGCGGCAAGACGGAAAGACCCCGUGAACCUUUACUAUAGCUUGACACUGAACAUUGAGCCUUGAUGUGUAGGAUAGGUGGGAGGCUUUGAAGUGUGGACGCCAGUCUGCAUGGAGCCGACCUUGAAAUACCACCCUUUAAUGUUUGAUGUUCUAACGUGGACCCGUGAUCCGGGUUGCGGACAGUGUCUGGUGGGUAGUUUGACUGGGGCGGUCUCCUCCUAAAGAGUAACGGAGGAGCACGAAGGUUGGCUAAUCCUGGUCGGACAUCAGGAGGUUAGUGCAAUGGCAUAAGCCAGCUUGACUGCGAGCGUGACGGCGCGAGCAGGUGCGAAAGCAGGUCAUAGUGAUCCGGUGGUUCUGAAUGGAAGGGCCAUCGCUCAACGGAUAAAAGGUACUCCGGGGAUAACAGGCUGAUACCGCCCAAGAGUUCAUAUCGACGGCGGUGUUUGGCACCUCGAUGUCGGCUCAUCACAUCCUGGGGCUGAAGUAGGUCCCAAGGGUAUGGCUGUUCGCCAUUUAAAGUGGUACGCGAGCUGGGUUUAGAACGUCGUGAGACAGUUCGGUCCCUAUCUGCCGUGGGCGCUGGAGAACUGAGGGGGGCUGCUCCUAGUACGAGAGGACCGGAGUGGACGCAUCACUGGUGUUCGGGUUGUCAUGCCAAUGGCACUGCCCGGUAGCUAAAUGCGGAAGAGAUAAGUGCUGAAAGCAUCUAAGCACGAAACUUGCCCCGAGAUGAGUUCUCCCUGACCCUUUAAGGGUCCUGAAGGAACGUUGAAGACGACGACGUUGAUAGGCCGGGUGUGUAAGCGCAGCGAUGCGUUGAGCUAACCGGUACUAAUGAACCGUGAGGCUUAACCUUACAACGCCGAAGGUGUUU
rnacentral:rRNA from 1 species